AUGUGCUGCUAUGAACAUUUGUGGACAAAUAUCUGUUCUGUCCAUGCUGUCAACCCUCUUGGGUGUCCACCUAUGAGUAAAAUGAAUCCAUCCUGUGCUAGUGCUGUGCCUGACUUCCUGAAGGACCCUGACACAAUGGUCUCCAUGUCGUGCUAUACACAGUACGCUGUGCUAUCUGCCACGUGUGAAGAAUGUGAGCUGUUGUUGCUGCUUGUUGUCAUCCCCAAAGCAGGACCACAAGCCACUGGUUUCAUCAUUCAGCGACCUAUAAAUCAGAUGGAUGUGGAAAUAGAGAGGAGGAGGGCUUUCCAGCUCCAGCUGAGGAAAGGGUGUCACCUGCCUUGCGGAGGCAUCUUCUCAUCUGGUCCUCAUGGUGCUCUCUGCACUUUCGGUCCCACGUGCUUUCGCUCAGUGGCUUGCUGGCAGAGAGACUUGCCGUCUUUUGGGAGCGAGACAACGAUCAUUUACAAGCACUUCUAGGAACCCCUGAGCUGCAGUGGUGCUGACACACAUGUAGCCAAUAAUCACAAUUAUUAUUAUGGAUCAACCAGAACCCACUACUGGACAGUGACCCCUUCAGCCCAGGGGCUCUGCCGAGGAGGGGAAGGCAUCUCAGGUGGCUUCUCUGAGCUGGAGCAGCAGACACAGCUGUUGACCCAUCUGUGACCCUAGAAUCUGAGAUUCCAGCUGGACACCUGGCUUCCCAG
rnacentral:lncRNA from 1 species